AUGCCAUGGUGGGGACACUUCACCAAUAUACCCUUGAACCUUUCCCAGGUUUCUUUCAAAGUUUCAGUUGGUUGUUGCCUGAACUACAAUAUCUCAUCAAUUUGCUU
rnacentral:snoRNA from 1 species